rnacentral:rRNA from 1 species
UACGUAGGGUGCAAGCGUUGUCCGGAAUUAUUGGGCGUAAAGAGCUCGUUGGCGGUCUGUCGCGUCUGCUGUGAAAACUCGGGGCUUAACCCCGGGCCUGCAGUGGGUACGGGCAGACUAGAGUGCGGUAGGGGAGACUGGAAUUCCUGGUGUAGCGGUGAAAUGCGCAGAUAUCAGGAGGAACACCGGUGGCGAAAGCAGGUCUCUGGGCCGAUACUGACGCUGAGGAGCGAAAGCGUGGGGAGCGAACAGG